rnacentral:rRNA from 1 species
GACGAACGCUGGCGGCGUGCUUAACACAUGCAAGUCGAACGGAAAGGCCCUGCUUUUGUGGGGUGCUCGAGUGGCGAACGGGUGAGUAACACGUGAGUAACCUGCCCUUGACUUUGGGAUAACUUUAGGAAACUGGGGCUAAUACCGGAUAGGAGCUCCUGCUGCAUGGUGGGGGUUGGAAAGUUUCGGCGGUUGGGGAUGGACUCGCGGCUUAUCAGCUUGUUGGUGGGGUAGUGGCUUACCAAGGUUUUGACGGGUAGCCGGCCUGAGAGGGUGACCGGCAACAUUGGGACUGAGGUACGGCCCAGACGCCUACGGGAGGCAGCAGUGGGGAAUAUUGCACAAUGGGCGGAAGACUGAUGCAGCAACGCCGCGUGCGGGAUGACGGCCUUCGGGUUGUAAACCGCUGUCGCCUGUGACGAAGCGUGAGUGACGGUAAUGGGUAAAGAAGCACCGGCUAACUACGUG